GUGGUGUGAUCAUAGCCAAUAGAGGGUGCACAGGCACGGGAGCUCAGGUGAGGCAGGGAGCUGAGCUCACCUGACCUCCCAUGCCUGUGCACCCUCUAUUAUAUCACUCGUAUGUCUAC
rnacentral:precursor_RNA from 1 species